rnacentral:rRNA from 1 species
GUGGGGAAUCUUCCGCAAUGGACGAAAGUCUGACGGAGCAACGCCGCGUGAGUGAUGAAGGUCUUCGGAUUGUAAAGCUCUGUUAAUCGGGACGAAAGUGCCUGUUGCGAAUAGUUACAGGUAUUGACGGUACUGAACGAGGAAGCCACGGCUAACUACGUGCCAGCAGCCGCGGUAAUACGUAGGUGGCAAGCGUUGUCCGGAAUUAUUGGGCGUAAAGAGCAUGUAGGCGGGAAUCUAAGUCUGUUGUGAAAAUGCGGGGCUCAACCCCGUAUUGCGAUGGAAACUGGGUUUCUUGAGUGCAGGAGAGGAAAGGGGAAUUCCCAGUGUAGCGGUGAAAUGCGUAGAUAUUGGGAGGAACACCAGUGGCGAAGGCGCCUUUCUGGACUGUGUCUGACGCUGAGAUGCGAAAGCCAGGGUAGCGAACGGGAUUAGAAACCCUGGUAGUCC